GGACCCGUGGUCUAGUGGUUAUGACGUCGCCCUUACAAGGCGGAGGUCGCCGGUUCGAGCCCGGCCGGGUCCA
rnacentral:tRNA from 1 species